GGAAACUUGGAAACUACCGUUGGAUCGAGAAAUAGACGUCCAAAAUUCGUCCACGUCACCAUCAGUUAAAAUUUAACUCGCAGAUUCAGCUCAUGAGUUAAAAUUUUACCGGGAGUUCAAUUUUAACUCAUGGUGAUGUGGACGAAUCUCGGACGUCCAUUUCUCGAUCCAACGGUAGUUUCCAAGUUUCC
rnacentral:pre_miRNA from 1 species